GAAAUAUAAUGUUUUAAGAAAAAGCUGCUAACUUUUAUCUUUAAUGGUUUAAAUCCAUUAAUAUUUCU
rnacentral:tRNA from 1 species